rnacentral:rRNA from 1 species
GUGAACUGCGAAUGGCUCAUUAAAUCAGUUAUAGUUUAUUUGAUGGUACCUUGCUACAUGGAUAACUGUGGUAAUUCUAGAGCUAAUACAUGCAAUCAAGCCCCGACUUCCGGAAGGGGUGUAUUUAUUAGAUAAAAAACCAACGCGGUUCGCCGCUCCAUUGGUGAUUCAUAAUAACUUCUCGAAUCGCACGGCCUUGUGCUGGCGAUGCUUCAUUCAAAUAUCUGCCCUAUCAACUUUCGAUGGUAGGAUAGUGGCCUACCAUGGUUUCAACGGGUAACGGGGAAUAAGGGUUCGAUUCCGGAGAGGGAGCCUGAGAAACGGCUACCACAUCCAAGGAAGGCAGCAGGCGCGCAAAUUACCCAAUCCCGACACGGGGAGGUAGUGACAAUAAAUAACAAUAUAGGGCUCUUUUGGGUCUUAUAAUUGGAAUGAGUACAAUUUAAAUCCCUUAACGAGGAACAAUUGGAGGGCAAGUCUGGUGCCAGCAGCCGCGGUAAUUCCAGCUCCAAUAGCGUAUAUUAAAGUUGUUGCAGUUAAAAAGCUCGUAGUUGAACUUCAGACCUGGCCGGAUGGUCUGCCUAACGGUAUGUACUGUCUGGCUGGGCCUUACCUCUUGGUGAGCCGGCAUGCCCUUUACUGGGUGUGUUGGGGAACCAGGACUUUUACCUUGAGAAAAUUAGAGUGUUCAAAGCAGGCCUAUGCCCGAAUACAUUAGCAUGGAAUAAUAAAAUAGGACGUGCGGUUCUAUUUUGUUGGUUUCUAGAGUCGCCGUAAUGAUUAAUAGGGAUAGUUGGGGGCAUUAGUAUUCAGUUGCUAGAGGUGAAAUUCUUGGAUUUACUGAAGACUAACUAUUGCGAAAGCAUUUGCCAAGGAUGUUUUCAUUAAUCAAGAACGAAGGUUAGGGGAUCGAAAACGAUCAGAUACCGUUGUAGUCUUAACAGUAAACUAUGCCGACUAGGGAUCGGGCGAACUCAAUUUUAUGUGUCGCUCGGCACCUUACGAGAAAUCAAAGUCUUUGGGUUCUGGGGGGGAGUAUGGUCGCAAGGCUGAAACUUAAAGGAAUUGACGGAAGGGCACCACCAGGAGUGGAGCCUGCGGCUUAAUUUGACUCAACACGGGGAAACUCACCAGGUCCAGACAUGACUAGGAUUGACAGAUUGAUAGCUCUUUCAUGA